CCAUAUUUCUUACCCUCUCGGGGCUGGAAGCUUCCUGACUGAAGAUCUCUCUGCACUUGGGGUUCUUUCUAGAACAUUUUCUAGUCCCCCAACACCCUUUAUGGCGUAUUUCUUUAAAAAAAUCACCUAAAUUCCAUAAAAUAUUUUUUUAAAUUCUAUACUUUCUCCUAGUGUCUUCUUGACACGUCCUCCAUAUUUUUAAAAAAAAAGUAUUUGGAAUAUUUUGAGGCAAUUUUUAAUAUUUAAGGAAUUUUUCUUUGGAAUCAUUUUUGGUUGACAUCUCUGUUUUUUGUGGAUCAGUUUUUUACUCUUCCACUCUCUUUUCUAUAUUUUGCCCAUCGGGGCUGCGGAUACCUGGUUUUAUUAUUUUUUCUUUGCCCAACGGGGCCGUGGAUACCUGCCUUUUAAUUCUUUUUUAUUCGCCCAUCGGGGCCGCGGAUACCUGCUUUUUAUUUUUUUUUUCCUUAGCCCAUCGGGGUAUCGGAUACCUGCUGAUUCCCUUCCCCUCUGAACCCCCAACACUCUGGCCCAUCGGGGUGACGGAUACCUGCUUUUUAAAAAUUUUCUUUUUUUGGCCCAUCGGGGCUUCGGAUACCUGCUUUUUUUUUUUUUUAUUUUUCCUUGCCCAUCGGGGCCUCGGAUACCUGCUUUAAUUUUUGUUUUUCUGGCCCAUCGGGGCCGCGGAUACCUGCUUUGAUUUUUUUUUUUCAUCGCCCAUCGGUGCUUUUUAUGGAUGAAAAAAUGUUGGUUUUGUGGGUUGUUGCACUCUCUGGAAUAUCUACACUUUUUUUUGCUGCUGAUCAUUUGGUGGUGUGUGAGUGUACCUACGGCUUUGGCAGAGAAUGACUCUGCAGUUAAGCUAAGGGCGUGUUCAGAUUGUGGAGGAAAAGUGGCCGCCAUUUUAGACUUGCCGCAUAACUCGGCUUAGGGCUAGUCGUUUGUGCUAAGUUAAACUAGGGAGGCAAGAUGGAUGAUAGCAGGUCAGGCAGAGGAAGUCAUGUGCAUUGCAUGAGCUAAACCUAUCUGAAUGAGUUGAUUUGGGGCUUGUUAGGAGCUUUGCGUGAUUGUUGUAUCGGAGGCAGUAAGAAUCAUCUUUUAUCAGUACAAGGGACUAGUUAAAAAUGAAAGGUUAGGAAAGACUAAGGUGCAGGGCUUAAAAUGGCGAUUUUGACAUUGCGGCAUUGCUCAGCAUGGCGGGCUGUGCUUUGUUAGGUUGUCCAAAAUGGCGGAUCCAGUUCUGUCGCAGUGUUCAAGUGGCGGGAAGGCCACAUCAUGAUGGGCGAGGCUUUGUUAAGUGGUUAGCAUGGUGGUGGACAUGUGCGGUCACACAGGAAAAGAUGGCGGCUGAAGGUCUUGCCGCAGUGUAAAACAUGGCGGGCCUCUUUGUCUUUGCUGUGUGCUUUUCGUGUUGGGUUUUGCCGCAGGGACAAUAUGGCAGGCGUUGUCAUAUGUAUAGCAUGGCUUUUGUCACGUGGACAUCAUGGCGGGCUUGCCGCAUUGUUAAAGAUGGCGGGUUUUGCCGCCUAGUGCCACGCAGAGCGGGAGAAAAGGUGGGAUGGACAGUGCUGGAUUGCUGCAUAACCCAACCAAUUAGAAAUGGGGGUGGAAUUGGUCACAGCCAAUUAGAGCAGAAGAUGGAAUUAGACUGAUGACACACUGUCCAGCUACUCAGCGAAGACUUGGGUGAAUUAGCAUGGCACUUCGCAGCUGUCUUUAGCCAGUCAGGAGAAAGAAGUGGAGGGGCCACGUGUAUGUCUCCCAGUGGGCGGUACACCAGGUGUUUUCAAGGUCUUUUCAAGGACAUUUGGCCUUUCCACCUCUGUCCCCUCUUAUUUGUCCCCUCCUGUCCAGUGCUGCCUCUUGCAGUGCUGGAUAUCUGGCUGUGUGGUCUGAACCUCCCUCCAUUCCUCUGUAUUGGUGCCUCAUCUAAGGCUAAGUAUACCUCCCCCCCCACCCCCCAACCCCCCCAACUCCCCACCCCCACCCCCCACCCCCCCACCCCCCACCCCCCUACCCCCCUACCCCCCUCUGGUCUGCCCUGCACUGCACUGUUGCCGUGGGCAGUGCUCCAGGCCUGCUUGGUGUGGACAUGGUGGUGAGCCGUGGCAAGGACCAGAAUGGAUCACAGAUGAUCGUUGGCCAACAGGUGGCAGAAGAGGAAUUCCUGCCUUCCUCAAGAGGAACACCUACCCCUUGGCUAAUGCUGGGGUCGGAUUUUGAUUUAUAUUUAUCUUUUGGAUGUCAGUCAUACAGUCUGAUUUUGUGGUUUGCUAGUGUUUGAAUUUAAGUCUUAAGUGACUAUUAUAGAAAUGUAUUAAGAGGCUUUAUUUGUAGAAUUCACUUUAAUUACAUUUAAUGAGUUUUUGUUUUGAGUUCCUUAAAAUUCCUUAAAGUUUUUAGCUUCUCAUUACAAAUUCCUUAACCUUUUUUUGGCAGUAGAUAGUCAAAGUCAAAUCAUUUCUAAUGUUUUAAAAAUGUGCUGGUCAUUUUCUUUGAAAUUGACUUAACUAUUUUCCUUUGGAUUUUGAAGAGUCUGUAGCACAGAAACAGUAAAAAAUUUAACUUCAUGACCUAAUGUAAAAAAGAGUGUUUGAAGGUUUACACAGGUCCAGGCCUUGCUUUGUUCCCAUCCUUGAUGCUGCACUAAUUGACUAAUCACCUACUUAUCAGACAGGAAACUUGAAUUGCUGUGGUCUGGUGUCCUCUAUUCAGACUUAUUAUAUUGGAGUAUUUCAAUUUUUCGUUGUAUCCUGCCUGCCUAGCAUCCAGUUCCUCCCCAGCCCUGCUCCCAGCAAACCCCUAGUCUAGCCCCAGCCCUUCUCCCACCCCGCCCCAGCCCUGCCCCAGCCCCAGUCCCAGUCCCCUAACCCCCCAGCCCUAGCCCCAGUCCCAGUCCUAGUUCCUCAGUCCCGCCCAGCUUCUCUUGAAAGUCACUCUAAUUUUCAUUGAUUCAGUGCUCAAAAUAAGUUGUCCAUUGCUUAUCCUAUUAUACUGGGAUAUUCCGUUUACCCUUGGCAUUGCUGAUCUUCAGUACUGACUCCUUGACCAUUUUCAGUUAAUGCAUACAAUCCCAUUUGUCUGUGAUCUCAGAACAAAGAAUUUCCUUACUCGGUACGUUGAAGUUAGGGAAUGUCAAUUGAGAGCUUUGUAUCAGAGCAUUAUUGCCCACAAUUUGAGUUACUUAUCAUUUUCUCGAUCCCCUGCCCUUAAAGGAGAAACCAUUUCUCUGUCAUUGCUUCUGUAGUCACAGUCCCAAUUUUGAGUAGUGAUCUUUUCUUGUGUACUGUGUUGGCCACCUAAAACUCUUUGCAUUGAGUAAAAUUCUAAUUGCCAAUAAUCCUACCCAUUGGAUUAGACAGCACUCUGAACCCCAUUUGCAUUCAGCAGGGGGUCGCAGACAACCCGUCUUUUGUUGGACAGUUAAAAUGCUCAGUCCCAAUUGUCAUAGCUUUGCCUAUUAAACAAAGGCACCCUACUGCGCUUUUUGCUGUGCUUCUGGAGAGUCCUGCUGUUCUUGGACAAUUAAAGAACAAAGUAGUAAUUGCUAAUUGUCUCACCCAUUAAUCAUGAAGACUACCAGUCGCCCUUGCAUUUGCCUUGAGGCAGCGCUGACUACCUGAGAUUUAAGAGUUUCUUAAAUUAUUGAGUAAAAUCCCAAUUAUCCGUAGUUCUGUUAGUUACACUAUGGCCUUUGCAAACAUCUUUGCAUAACAGCAGUGGGACUGACUCAUUCUUAGAGCCACUUCCCUUGGAAUAUUAAUGGAUACAAUAGUAAUUAUUCAUGGUUCUGCGUAACAGAGAAGACCCACUUAUGUGUAUGCCUUUAUCAUUGCUCCUAGAUAGUGUGAACUACCUACCACCUUGCAUUAAUAUGUAAAACACUAAUUGCCCAUAGUCCCACUCAUUAGUCUAGGAUGUCCCCUUUGCCAUUGCUGCUGAGUUCUGACUACCCAAGUUUCCUUCUCUUAAACAGUUGAUAUGCAUAAUUGCAUAUAUUCAUGGUUCUGUGCAAUAAAAAUGGAUUCUCACCCCAUCCCACCUUCUGUGGGAUGUUGCUAACGAGUGCAGAUUAUUCAAUAACAGCUCUUGAACAGUUAAUUUGCACAGUUGCAAUUGUCCAGAGUCCUGUCCAUUAGAAAGGGACUCUGUAUCCUAUUUGCACGCUACAAUGUGGGCUGAUCACCCAAGGACUCUUCUUGUGCAUUGAUGUUCAUAAUUGUAUUUGUCCACGAUCUUGUGCACUAACCCUUCCACUCCCUUUGUAUUCCAGCAGGGGACCCUUACUACUCAAGACCUCUGUACUAGGACAGUUUAUGUGCACAAUCCUAAUUGAUUAGAACUGAGUCUUUUAUAUCAAGGUCCCUGCAUCAUCUUUGCUUUACAUCAAGAGGGUGCUGGUUACCUAAUGCCCCCCCUCCAGAAAUUAUUGAUGUGCAAAAUGCAAUUUCCCUAUCUGCUGUUAGUCUGGGGUCUCAUCCCCUCAUAUUCCUUUUGUCUUACAGCAGGGGGUACUUGGGACUGUUAAUGCGCAUAAUUGCAAUUAUGGUCUUUUCCAUUAAAUUAAGAUCCCAACUGCUCACACCCUCUUAGCAUUACAGUAGAGGGUGCUAAUCACAAGGACAUUUCUUUUGUACUGUUAAUGUGCUACUUGCAUUUGUCCCUCUUCCUGUGCACUAAAGGCCCCACUCACUUCCCUAGUGUUCAGCAGUGGAUGACCUCUAGUCAAGACCUUUGCACUAGGAUAGUUAAUGUGAACCAUGGCAACUGAUCACAACAAUGUCUUUCAGAUCAGAUCCAUUUUAUCCUCCUUGUUUUACAGCAAGGGAUAUUAAUUACCUAUGUUACCUUUCCCUGGGACUAUGAAUGUGCAAAAUUCCAAUGUUCAUGGUCUCUCCCUUUAAACCUAUAUUCUACUCCUUUUACAUUACAGAAAGGGAUGCUGGCAACCCAGAGUCCUUCUCUUGGGACUCUUAAUGUGUAUUUCUAAUUGUCCAUGACUCUUAAUGUGCAUAUUUUCAAUUGUCUAAGACAUUUCAAAUGUCUAAUUGAUUAGAACUGAGUCUUUUAUAUCAAGCUAAUAUCUAGCUUUUAUAUCAAGCUAAUAUCUUGACUUCUCAGCAUCAUAGAAGGGGGUACUGAUUUCCUAAAGUCUUUCUUGAACUUCUAUUAUGCAAAAUUGCCCUGAGGCCGGGUGUGGUGGCUCACACCUGUAAUCCCAGCACUUUGGGAGGCUGAGGUGGGAAGAUCCCUUACUGCCAGGAGUUUGAGACCAGCCUGGCCAACAUUAAAAAAAAAAAAAAGUAAGACAGUUGCCCUGGAAUCCCAUCCCCCUCACACCUCCUUGGCAAAGCAGCAGGAGUGCUAACUAGCUAGUGCUUCUUAUACUGCUUAAAUGCGCAUAAUUAACAGUAGUUGAUGUGCCCCUAUGUUAGAGUAGAAUCCCGCUUCCUUGCUCCAUUUGCAUUACUGCAGGAGCUUCUAACUAGCCUGAAUUCACUCUCUUGGACUGUUAAUGUGCAUACUUAUAUUUGCUGCUGUACUUUUUUACCAUGUAAGGACCCCACCCACUGUAUUUACAUCCCAGCUGGAAGUACCUACUACUUAAGACCCUUAGACUAGUAAAGUUAGCGUGCAUAAUCUUAGUUGUUAUAUACACAUUUUCAGUUGCAUACAGUUGUGCCUUUUAUCAGGACUCCUGUACUUAUCAAAGCAGAGAGUGCUAAUCAACAUUAAGCCCUUCUCUUCGAACUGUAGAUGGCAUGUAAUUGCAGUUGUCAAUGGUCCUUCAAUUAGACUUGGGUUUCUGACCUAUCACACCCUCUUUGCUUUAUUGCAUGGGGUACUAUUCACUUAAGGCCCCUUUCUCAAACUGUUAAUGUGCCUAAUGACAAUUACAUCAGUAUCCUUCCUUUUGAAGGACAGCAUGGUUGGUGACACCUAAGGCCCCAUUUCUUGGCCUCCCAAUAUGUGUGAUUGUAUUUGUCGAGGUUGCUAUGCACUAGAGAAGGAAAGUGCUCCCCUCAUCCCCACUUUUCCCUUCCAGCAGGAAGUGCCCACCCCAUAAGACCCUUUUAUUUGGAGAGUCUAGGUGCACAAUUGUAAGUGACCACAAACAUGCAUCUUGGACAUUUAUGUGCGUAAUCGCACACUGCUCAUUCCAUGUGAAUAAGGUCCUACUCUCCGACCCCUUUUGCAAUACAGAAGGGUUGCUGAUAACCCAGUCCCCUUUUCUUGGCAUGUUGUGUGUGAUUAUAAUUGUCUGGGAUCCUAUGCACUAGAAAAGGAGGGUCCUCUCCACAUACCUCAGUCUCACCUUUCCCUUCCAGCAGGGAGUGCCCACUCCAUAAGACUCUCACAUUUGGACAGUCAAGGUGCGUAAUUGUUAAGUGAACACAACCAUGCACCUUAGACAUGGAUUUGCAUAACUACACACAGCUCAACCUAUCUGAAUAAAAUCCUAGUCUCAGACCCCUUUUGCAGUACAGCAGGGGUGCUGAUCACCAAGGCCCCUUUUCCUGGCCUGGUAUGCGUGUGAUUAUGUUUGUCCCGGUUCCUGUGUAUUAGACAUGGAAGCCUCCCCUGCCACACUCCACCCGCAAUCUUCCUUUCCCUUCCGGCAGGGAGUGCCCUCUCCAUAAGACGCUUACGUUUGGACAAUCAAGGUGCACAGUUGUAAGUGACCACAGGCAUGCACCUUGGACAUUAAUGUGCAUAACUGCACUUUGCCCAUUCCAUCUGAAUAAGGUCCUACUCUCAGACCCCUUUUGCAGUACAGCAGGGGUGCUGAUCACCAAGGCCCCUUUUCUUGGCCUUUUAUGUGCGUGAUUAUAUUUGUCUGGGUUCCUGUGUAUUAGACAAGGAAGCCUUCCCCCCGCCCCCACCCCCACUCCCAGUCUUCCUUUCCCUUCCAGCAGGGAGUGCCCCCUCCAUAAGAUCAUUACAUUUGGACAAUCAAGGUGCACAAUUAUAAGUGACCACAGCCAUGCACCUUGGACAUUAUUGGACAUUAAUGUGCGUAACUGCACAUGGCCCAUCCCAUCUGAAUAAGGUCCUACUCUCAGAUGCCCUUUGCCGUACAGCAGGGGUACUGAAUCACCAAGGCCCUUUUUCUUGGCCUGUUAUGUGUGUGAUUAUAUUUAUCCCAGUUUCUGUGUAAUAGACAUGAAAGCCUCCCCUGCCACACCCCACCUCCAAUCUUCCUUUCCCUUCCAGCAGGGAGUGUCCGCUCCAUGUACCCUUACAUUUGGACAAUCAAGGUGCACAAUUGUAAGUGAUCAUAGGCACUCACCUUGGACAUUAAUGUGCAUAACUGCACAUGGCCCAUCCCAUCUGAAUAAGGUCCUACUCUCAGACCCUUUUUGCAGUACAGCAGGGGUGCUGAUCACCAAGGCCCCUUUUCCUGGCCUGUUAUGUGUAUGAUUAUAUUUGUUCCAGUUCCUGUGUAAUAGACAUGGAAGCCUCCCCUGCCACACCCCACCUCCAAUCUUCCUUUCCCUUCUGGCAGGAAAUACCCGCUCCAUAAGACCCUUACAUUUGGACAAUCAAGGUGCACAAUUGUAUGUGACCACAACCAUACACCUUGGACAUAAAUGUGUGUAACUGCACAUGGCCCAUCUCAUCUGAAUAAGGUCCUACUCUCAGACCCCUUUUGCAGUACAGUAGGUGUGCUGAUAACCAAGGCCCCUCUUCCUGGCCUGUUAACGUAUGUGAUUAUAUUUGUCUGGGUUCCAGUGUAUAAGACAUGGAAGCCUCCCCUGCCCCACCCCACCCUCAAUCUUCCUUUCCCUUCUGGCAGGGAGUGCCAGCUCCAUAAGAACCUUACAUUUGGACAGUCAAGGUGCACAAUUCUAAGUGACCGCAGCCAUGCACCUUGGUCAAUAAUGUGUGUAACUGCACACGGCCUAUCUCAUCUGAAUAAGGCCUUACUCUCAGACCCCUUUUGCAGUACAGCAGGGGUGCUGAUAACCAAGGCCCAUUUUCCUGGCCUGUUAUGUGUGUGAUUAUAUUUGUCCAGGUUUCUGUGUACUAGACAAGGAAGCCUCCUCUGCCCCAUCCCAUCUACGCAUAAUCUUUCUUUUCCUCCCAGCAGGGAGUGCUCACUCCAUAAGACCCUUACAUUUGGACAAUCAAGGUGCACAAUUGUAAAGUGACCACAACCAUGCAUCUUGGAAAUUAUGUGCAUAACUGCACAUGGCUUAUCCUAUUUGAAUAAAGUCCUACUCUCAGACCCCCUUUGCAGUAUAGCUGGGGUGCUGAUCACUGAGGCCUCUUUGCUUGGCUUGUCUAUAUUCUUGUGUACUAGAUAAGGGCACCUUCUCAUGGACUCCCUUUGCUUUUCAACAAGGAGUACCCACUACUUUUUAAGAUUCUUAUAUUUGUCCAAAGUACAUGGUUUUAAUUGACCACAACAAUGUCCCUUGGACAUUAAUGUACGUAAUCACCACAUGGUUCAUCCUAAUUAAACAAGGUUCUACCCUCUCACCCUCCAUUUGCAGUAUACCAGGGUUGCUGACCCCCUAAGUCCCCUUUUCUUGGCUUGUUGACAUGCAUAAUUGCAUUUAUGUGGGUUCUUGUGCCCUAGACAAGGAUGCCCCACCUCUUUUCAAUAGUGGGUGCCCACUCCUUAUGAUCUUUACAUUUGAACAGUUAAUGUGAAUAAUUGCAGUUGUCUACAACCCUAUCACUUCUAGGACCAUUAUACCUCUUUUGCAUUACUGUGGGGUAUACUGUUUCCCUCCAAGGCCCCUUCUGGUGGACUAUCAACAUAUAAUUGAAAUUUUCUUUUGUCUUUGUCAGUAGAUUAAGGUCAUACCCCAUCACCUUUCCUUUGUAGUACAGCAGGGUGUCCUGAUCAACCAAAGUCCUGUUGUUUUGGACUGUUAAUAUGUGCAAUUACAUUUGCUCCUGAUCUGUGCACUAGAUAAGGAUCCUACCUACUUUCUUAGCGUUUUUAGCAGGUAGUGGCCACUACUCAAGACUGUCACUUGGAAUGUUCAUGUGCACAAACUCAAUUCUCUAAGCAUGUUCCUGUACCACCUUUGCUUUAGAGCAGGGGGAUGAUAUUCACUAAGUGCCCCUUCUUUUGGACUUAAUAUGCAUUAAUGCAAUUGUCCACCUCUUCUUUUAGACUAAGAGUUGAUCUCCACAUACUCCCCUUGCAUCAGGGGCAUGUUAAUUAUGAAUGAACCCUUUUCUUUUAAUAUUAAUGUCAUAAUUGUAUUUGUGGACCUGUGUAGGAGAAAAAGACCCUAUGUUCCUCCCAUUACCCUUUGGAUUGCUGCUGAGAAGUGUUAACUACUCAUAAUCUCAGCUCUUGGACAAUUAAUAGCAUUAAUAACAAUUAUCAAGGGCACUGAUCAUUAGAUAAGACUCCUGCCUCCUCGUUGCUUACAUCGGGGGUACUGACCCACUAAGGCCCCUUGUACUGUUAAUGUGAAUAUUUGCAAUUAUAUAUGUCUCCUUCUGUUAGAGUGGGAUAUUAUGCCCUAGUAUCCCCUUUGCAUUACUGCAGGGGCUGCUGACUACUCAAAACUUCUCCUGGGACUGUUAAUAGGCACAAUGGCAGUUAUCAAUGGUUUUCUCCCUCCCUGACCUUGUUAAGCAAGCGCCCCACCCCACCCUUAGUUUCCCAUGGCAUAAUAAAGUAUAAGCAUUGGAGUAUUCCAUGCACUUUUCUAUCAAACAGUGGUCCAUACUCCCAACCCUUUUGCAUUGCGCCAGUGUGUAAAAUCACAGGUAGCCAUGGUGUCAUGCUUUAUAUACGAAGUCUUCCCUCUCUCUGCCCCUUGUGUGCCCUUGGCCCCUUUUUACAGACUAUUGCUCACAAUCUCAGGUGUCCAUAUAUGCAGCUAUUAGGUAAGAUUGUGCUGUCUCCCUCUUCCCUUCCCUCUGCCCUGCCCCUUUUGCCUCUUUGCUGGGUAAUGUUGACCGGACAAGGCCCUUUCUCUUGGACUUAAACAAUUCUCAGUUGCACUUUCCUUGGUCCCACCCAUUAUACAUGAACCCCUCUACUUCCUUUCGCAUUGCUUCUGAGUAUGCUGACUACCCAAAGCCCCUUCUGUGUUAUUAAUAAACACAGUACUGAUUGUCCCAUUUUUCAGCCCAUCAGUCCAAGAUCUCCCUACCACUUUGGUGUGUUGGUGCAGUGUUGACUAUGAAAAGCAGGCCUGAACUAGGUGGAUAAGCCUUCACUCAUUUUCUUUCAUUUAUUAAUGAUCCUAGUUUCAAUUAUUGUCAGAUUCUGGGGACAAGAACCAUUCUUGCCCACCUGUGUUACUGCUUUACUGUGCAAAAUACUGAAGGCAAGUCAGACCCAGGGAGCUGGAUUGCCAUCCUUUAUUUUGUGUUUCCAGUAUACACUAUCAAAUUGUCUCCCCAGGAAGGAAGGUUGGCACUUUCUCUGCAUUCUUCUUUCCAGAGCAGAUUGCCUGGUUAAGAAUCUCUUGUUGUCCCCUUUGUAUAUUGUUAUUGUAAAGUGCCAAAUGCCAGGAUACAGCCAGAAAAAUUGCUUAUAUUAUUAUUAAAAAAAUUUUUUUAAGAAAGACAUCUGGAUUGUAGGGUGGACUCGAUAACCUGGUCAUUAUUUUUUUGAAGCCAAAAUAUCCAUUUAUACUAUGUACCUGGUGACCAGUGUCUCUCAUUUUAACUGAGGGUGGUGGGUCUGUGGAUAGAACACUGACUCUUGCUAUUUUAAUAUCAAAGACGUUCUAGAGUGGAACUCUUAAGACCAGUAUCUUUGUGUGGGCUUUACCAGCAUUCACUUUUAGAAAAACUACCUAAAUUUUAUAAUCCUUUAAUUUCUUCAUCUGGAGCACCUGCCCCUACUUAUUUCAAGAAGAUUGCAGUAAAAUGAUUAAAUGAGGGAACAUAUGCAGAGGUGCUUUUAAAAAGCACAUGCCACCUUUUUUAUUAAUUAAUCUAUUAUAUAAAAUGAAGCAUUUAAUUAUAGUAAUAAUUUGAAGUAGUUUGAAGUACCACACUGAGGUGAGGACUUAAAAAUGAUAAGACGAGUUCCCUAUUUUAUAAGAAAAAUAAGCCAAAAUUAAAUAUUCUUUUGGAUAUAAAUUUCAACAGUGAGAUAGCUGCCUAGUGGAAAUGAAUAAUAUCCCAGCCACUAGUGUACAGGGUGUUUUGUGGCACAGGAUUAUGUAAUAUGGAACUGCUCAAGCAAAUAACUAGUCAUCACAACAGCAGUUCUUUGUAAUAACUGAAAAAGAAUAUUGUUUCUCGGAGAAGGAUGUCAAAAGAUCGGCCCAGCUCAGGGAGCAGUUUGCCCUACUAGCUCCUCGGACAGCUGUAAGAAGAGUCUCUGGCUCUUUAGAAUACUGAUCCCAUUGAAGAUACCACGCUGCAUGUGUCCUUAGUAGUCAUGUCUCCUUAGGCUCCUCUUGGACAUUCUGAGCAUGUGAGACCUGAGGACUGCAAACAGCUAUAAGAGGCUCCAAAUUCAUCAUAUCUUUCCCUUUGAGAAUCUGGCCAAGCUCCAGCUAAUCUACUUGGAUGGGUUGCCAGCUAUCUGGAGAAAAAGGUUGGUAGCCAGAAUAUAACAGCUCCGCACAACUGUAAAUGUCCACUCUUCAAUCCACAUGAAGAAAAGGAUCUUCCUCAGAAGAAUAGGCUUGUUGCUUUACAGUGUUAGUGAUCCAUUCCCUUUGACGAUCCCUAGGUGGAGAUGGGGCAUGAGGAUCCUCCAGGGGAAAAGCUCACUACCACUGGGCAACAACCCUAGGUCAGGAGGUUCUGUCAAGAUACUUUCCUGGUCCCAGAUAGGAAGAUAAAGUCUCAAAAACAACCACCACACGUCAAGCUCUUCAUUGUUCCUACCUGCCAAAUCAUUAUACUUCCUACAAGCAGUGCAGAGAGCUGAGUCUUCAGCAGGUCCAAGAAAUUUGAACACACUGAAGGAAGUCAGCCUUCCCACCUGAAGAUCAACAUGCCUGGCACUCUAGCACUUGAGGAUAGCUGAAUGAAUGUGUAUUUCUUUGUCUCUUUCUUUCUUGUCUUUGCUCUUUGUUCUCUAUCUAAAGUGUGUCUUACCCAUUUCCAUGUUUCUCUUGCUAAUUUCUUUCGUGUGUGCCUUUGCCUCAUUUUCUCUUUUUGUUCACAAGAGUGGUCUGUGUCUUGUCUUAGACAUAUCUCUCAUUUUUCAUUUUGUUGCUAUUUCUCUUUGCUCUCCUAGAUGUGGCUCUUCUUUCACGCUUUAUUUCAUGUCUCCUUUUUGGGUCACAUGCUGUGUGCUUUUUGUCCUUUUCUUGUUCUGUCUACCUCUCCUUUCUCUGCCUACCUCUCUUUUCUCUUUGUGAACUGUGAUUAUUUGUUACCCCUUCCCCUUCUCGUUCGUUUUAAAUUUCACCUUUUUUCUGAGUCUGGCCUCCUUUCUGCUGUUUCUACUUUUUAUCUCACAUUUCUCAUUUCUGCAUUUCCUUUCUGCCUCUCUUGGGCUAUUCUCUCUCUCCUCCCCUGCGUGCCUCAGCAUCUCUUGCUGUUUGUGAUUUUCUAUUUCAGUAUUAAUCUCUGUUGGCUUGUAUUUGUUCUCUGCUUCUUCCCUUUCUACUCACCUUUGAGUAUUUCAGCCUCUUCAUGAAUCUAUCUCCCUCUCUUUGAUUUCAUGUAAUCUCUCCUUAAAUAUUUCUUUGCAUAUGUGGGCAAGUGUACGUGUGUGUGUGUCAUGUGUGGCAGAGGGGCUUCCUAACCCCUGCCUGAUAGGUGCAGAACGUCGGCUAUCAGAGCAAGCAUUGUGGAGCGGUUCCUUAUGCCAGGCUGCCAUGUGAGAUGAUCCAAGACCAAAACAAGGCCCUAGGCUGCAGUAAAACCCAAAACUCAAGUAGGGCAGAAGGUGGAAGGCUCAUAUGGAUAGAAGGCCCAAAGUAUAAGACAGAUGGUUUGAGACUUGAGACCCGAGGACUAAGAUGGAAAGCCCAUGUUCCAAGAUAGAUAGAAGCCUCAGGCCUGAAACCAACAAAAGCCUCAAGAGCCAAGAAAACAGAGGGUGGCCUGAAUUGGACCGAAGGCCUGAGUUGGAUGGAAGUCUCAAGGCUUGAGUUAGAAGUCUUAAGACCUGGGACAGGACACAUGGAAGGCCUAAGAACUGAGACUUGUGACACAAGGCCAACGACCUAAGAUUAGCCCAGGGUUGUAGCUGGAAGACCUACAACCCAAGGAUGGAAGGCCCCUGUCACAAAGCCUACCUAGAUGGAUAGAGGACCCAAGCGAAAAAGGUAUCUCAAGACUAAAGGCUGGAAUCUGGAGGCCCAUGACCCAGAACCCAGGAAGGAUAGAAGCUUGAAGACCUGGGGAAAUCCCAAGAUGAGAACCCUAAACCCUACCUCUUUUCUAUUGUUUACACUUCUUACUCUUAGAUAUUUCCAGUUCUCCUGUUUAUCUUUAAGCCUGAUUCUUUUGAGAUGUACUUUUUGAUGUUGCCGGUUACCUUUAGAUUGACAGUAUUAUGCCUGGGCCAGUCUUGAGCCAGCUUUAAAUCACAGCUUUUACCUAUUUGUUAGGCUAUAGUGUUUUGUAAACUUCUGUUUCUAUUCACAUCUUCUCCACUUGAGAGAGACACCAAAAUCCAGUCAGUAUCUAAUCUGGCUUUUGUUAACUUCCCUCAGGAGCAGGCAUUCAUAUAGGUGAUACUGUAUUUCAGUCCUUUCUUUUGACCCCAGAAGCCCUAGACUGAGAAGAUAAAAUGGUCAGGUUGUUGGGGGAAAAAAAGUGCCAGGCUCUCUAGAGAAAAAUGUGAAGAGAUGCUCCAGGCCAAUGAGAAGAAUUAGACAAGAAAUACACAGAUGUGCCAGACUUCUGAGAAGCACCUGCCAGCAACAGCUUCCUUCUUUGAGCUUAGGUGAGCAGGAUUCUGGGGUUUGGGAUUUCUAGUGAUGGUUAUGGAAAGGGUGACUGUGCCUGGGACAAAGCGAGGUCCCAAGGGGACAGCCUGAACUCCCUGCUCAUAGUAGUGGCCAAAUAAUUUGGUGGACUGUGCCAACCCUACUCCUGGGUUUAAUACCCAUCUCUAGGCUUAAAGAUGAGAGAACCUGGGACUGUUGAGCAUGUUUAAUACUUUCCUUGAUUUUUUUCUUCCUGUUUAUGUGGGAAGUUGAUUUAAAUGACUGAUAAUGUGUAUGAAAGCACUGUAAAACAUAAGAGAAAAACCAAUUAGUGUAUUGGCAAUCAUGCAGUUAACAUUUGAAAGUGCAGUGUAAAUUGUGAAGCAUUAUGUAAAUCAGGGGUCCACAGUUUUUCUGUAAGGGGUCAAAUCAUAAAUACUUUAGACUGUGGGCCAUAUGGUUUCUGUUACAUAUUUGUUUUUUAAACAACGUUUUUAUAAGGUCAAAAUCAUUCUUAGUUUUUGAGCCGAUUGGAUUUGGCCUGCUGUUCAUAGCUUACCACCCCCUGAUGUAUUAUUUGUUAUUCAGAGAAAAUUUCUGAAUACUACUAGUUUCCUUUUCUGUGCCUGUCCCUGUGCUAGGCACUAAAAAUGCAAUGAUUAUUGAUAUCUAGGUGACCUGAAAAAAAAUAGUGAAUGUGCUUUGUAAACUGUAAAGCACUUGUAUUCUACUGUGUUAAGCGUUGUGGAUACAAAGAAAGGAGCAAGCAUAAAAAAGUGCUCUUUCAAAAGGAUAUAGUACUAUGCAGACACAAGGAAUUGUUUGAUAAAUGAAUAAAUUAUAUGUAUAUUUGAGGCCAAUUUGUGUUUGCUGCUCUGGUAAUUUUGAGUAAAAAUGCAGUAUUCCAGGUAUCAGAAAUGAAAACACAUGGAAACUGCUUUUAAACUUUAAAAUAUAGUGAAAACAUAAGGGACUAAGCUUGUUGUGGUCACCUAUAAUGUGCCAGAUACCAUGCUGGGUGCUAGAGCUACCAAAGGGGGAAAAGUAUUCUCAUAGAACAAAAAAUUUCAGAAAGGUGCAUAUUAAAGUGCUUUGUAAACUAAAGCAUGAUACAAAUGUCAAUGGGCUACAUAUUUAUGAAUGAAUGAAUGGAUGAAUGAAUAUUAAGUGCCUCUUACAUACCAGCUAUUUUGGGUACUGUAAAAUACAAGAUUAAUUCUCCUAUGUAAUAAGAGGAAAGUUUAUCCUCCAUACUAUUCAGAUGUAAGGAAUGAUAUAUUGCUUAAUUUUAAACAAUCAAGACUUUACUGGUGAGGUUAAGUUAAAUUAUUACUGAUACAUUUUUCCAGGUAACCAGGAAAGAGCUAGUAUGAGGAAAUGAAGUAAUAGAUGUGAGAUCCAGACCGAAAGUCACUUAAUUCAGCUUGCGAAUGUGCUUUCUAAAUUAUAAAGCACUUGUAAAUGAAAAAUUCGAUGCUUUCUGUAUGAAUAAAACUUUCUGUAAGCUAGGUAUUGUCUCUACAAAAUUCUCAUUGUAUAGUUAAACCACAGUGAGAAGGGUUCUAUAAGUAGUUAUACAAACCAAGGGUUUAAAUACCUGUUAAAUAGAUCAAUUUUGAUUGCCUACUAUGUGAACUCACUGUUAAAGGCACUGAAAAUUUAUCAUAUUUCAUUUAGCCACAGCCAAAAAUAAGGCAAUACCUAUGUUAGCAUUUUGUGAACUCUAAGGCACCAUAUAAAUGUAACUGUUGAUUUUCUCACUUGGUGCUGGGUACUAGGUUUAUAAAAUUGUAUGAUAGUUAUUAUAUUGUGCAAAUAAAGUAGGAAAAUUUGAAUAACAAUGAUUAUCUUUUGAAUACACAUAUGCAAGGGAUUGGUUGUCUGAAGAAUGCCACUAUAGUAGUUAUCUAUUGUGUGCCAAUCUCAUUGCUAGGCAUUGGGGAUGCAAAGAUAAACCAUCUUUAUUGUGUCUUGGGUAGCAUUAGAAAAUAUGUGUAAAAUCAAUUUGUAAUUUGUAAACUGCCACCCAUAUAUAAGCUAUAUCUGCUGAAUGAUCAUUGAUUACUCUUAUCCUUAGAGAUAACAACUGGGGGCACAAACAUUUAUUAUCAUUAUUGAACCUACAACAGAGAUCUAUGUGUAGAUUUACAAAGCCUACAGUUCUAUACAGAUAGGAAUGAACUAUUGGCUUACUGAAUGGUGAUUACUUUCUGUGGGGCUCGGAACUACAUGCCCUAGGAUAUAAAAAUGAUGUUAUCAUUAUAGAGUGCUCACAGAAGGAAAUGAAGUAAUAUAGGUGUGAGAUUCAGACCAAAAGUCAUUUAACAAGUUUAUUCAGUGAUGAAAACAUGGGACAAAUGGACUAAUAUAAGGCAGUGUACUAAGCUGAGUAGAGAGAUAAAGUCCUGUCCAGAAGAUACAUGCUUCCUGGCCUGAUUGAGGAGAUGGAAAUUUUUUGCAAAAAACAAGGUGUUGUGGUCUUCCAUCCAGUUUCUUAAGUGCUGAUGAUAGAAGUGAAUUAGACCCACCUUGACCUGGCCUACAGAAGUAAAGGAGUAAAAAUAAAUGCCUCAGGCGUGCUUUUUGAUUCAUUUGAUAAACAAAGCAUCUUUUAUGUGGAAUAUACCAUUCUGGGUCCUGAGGAUGAGAGAUGAGGGCAUUAGAUCACUGACAGCUGAAGAUAGAAGAACAUCUUUGGUUGAUUGUUUAAAUAAUAUUUCAAUGCCUAUUCUCUGCAAGGUACUAUGUUUCGUAAAUUAAAUAGGUCUGGCCCAGAAGACCCACUCAAUUGCCUUUGAGAUUUAAAAAAAAAAAGAAAAAUGCAAGUUUCUUUCAAAAUAAAGAGACAUUUUUCCUAGUUUCAGGAAUCCCCCAAAUCACUUCCUCAUUGGCUUAGUUUAAAGCCAGGAGACUGAUCAAAGGGCUCAGGGUUUGUUCUUUAAUUCAUUAACUAAACAUUCUGCUUUUAUUACAGUUAAAUGGUUCAAGAUGUAACAACUAGCUUUAAAGGUAUUUGCUCAUUGGUCUGGCUUAGAGACAGGAAGACAUUUGAGCAAUAAAAAAAAGAUUCUUUUGCAUUUACCAAUUUAGUAAAAAUUUAUUAAAACUGAAUAAAGUGCUGUUCUUAAGUGCUUGAAAGACGUAAACCAAAGUGCACUUUAUCUCAUUUAUCUUAUGGUGGAGACACAGGAACAAAUUCUCUAAGAGACUGUGUUUCUUUAGUUGAGAAGAAACUUCAUUGAGUAGCUGUGAUAUGUUCGAUACUAAGGAAAAACUGAACAGAUCACCUUUGACAUGCGUUGUAGAGUGGGAAUAAGAGAGGGCUUUUUAUUUUUUCGUUCAUACGAAUAUUGAUGAAGAUGAUACUAAAUGCUAAAUGAAAUAUAUCUGCUCCAAAAGGCAUUUAUUCUGACUUGGAGAUGCAACAAAAACACAAAAAUGGAAUGAAGUGAUACUCUUCAUCAAACAGAAGUGACUGUUAUGUCAACCAUUUUGUUAAAUCCUAAACAGAAAACAAAAAAAAUCAUGACGAAAAGACACUUGCUUAUUAAUUGGCUUGGAAAGUAGAAUAUAGGAGAAAGGUUACUGUUUAUUUUUUUUCAUGUAUUCAUUCAUUCUACAAAUAUAUUCGGGUGCCAAUAGGUACUUGGUAUAAGGUUUUUGGCCCCAGAGACAUGGGAAACAAAUGCAUGCCUUCCCAGAGAAUGCCUAAUACUUUACUUUUGGCUUGUUUUCUUGUUAGGGGCAUGGCUUAGUCCCUAAAUAACAUUGUGUGGUUUAAUUCCUACUCCGUAUCUCUUCUACCACUCUGGCCACUACGAUAAGCAGGUAGCUGGGUUUUGUAGUGAGCUUGCUCCUUAAGUUACAGGAACUCUCCUUAUAAUAGACACUUCAUUUUCCUAGUCCAUCCCUCAUGAAAAAUGACUGACCACUGCUGGGCAGCAGGAGGGAUGAUGACCAACUAAUUCCCAAACCCCAGUCUCAUUGGUACCAGCCUUGGGAAACCACCCACACUUGAGCCACAAUUGGUUUUGAAGUGCAUUUACAAGGUUUGUCUAUUUUCAGUUCUUUACUUUUUACAUGCUGACACAUACAUACACUGCCUAAAUAGAUCUCUUUCAGAAACAAUCCUCAGAUAACGCAUAGCAAAAUGGAGAUGGAGACAUGAUUUCUCAUGCAACAGCUUCUCUAAUUAUACCUUAGAAAUGUUCUCCUUUUUAUCAUCAAAUCUGCUCAAGAAGGGCUUUUUAUAGUAGAAUAAUAUCAGUGGAUGAAAACAGCUUAACAUUUUACCAUGCUUAAGUUUUAAGAAUAAAAUAAAAAUUGGAAAUAAUUGGCCAAAAUUGAAAGGAAAAAUUUUUUUAAAAUUUCUCUAAAUGUAGGCCUGGCUGGGCUUUGACCUUUUCCAUUUUUAAAUCACUCACAGAGGGUGGGACAGGAGGAAGAGUGAAGGAAAAGGUCAAACCUGUUUUAAGGCCUUUGUUCUGAAUUGGUCUUAAGAACAUUACCAGCUCCAGGUUUAAAUUGUUCAGUUUCAUGCAGUUCCAAUAGCUGAUCAUUGUUGAGAUGAGGACAAAAUCCUUUGUCCUCACUAGUUUGCUUUACAUUUUUGAAAAGUAUUAUUUUUGUCCAAGUGCUUAUCAACUAAACCUUGUGUUAGGUAAGAAUGGAAUUUAUUAAGUGAAUCAGUGUGACCCUUCUUGUCAUAAGAUUAUCUUAAAGCUGAAGCCAAAAUAUGCUUCAAAAGAAGAGGACUUUAUUGUUUAUUGUAGUUCAUACAUUCAAAGCAUCUAAACUGUAGUUUCUAUAGCAAGCCAAUUACAUCCAUAAGUGGAGAAGGAAAUAGAUAAAUGUCAAAGUAUGAUUGGUGGAGGGAGCAAGAUUGAAGAUAAUCUGGGGUUGAAAUUUUCUAGUUUUCAUUCUGUACAUUUUUAGUUAGACAUCAGAUUUGAAAUAUUAAUGUUUACCUUUCAAUGUGUGGUAUCAGCUGGACUCAGUAACACCCCUUUCUUCAGCUGGGGAUGGGGAAUGGAUUAUUGGAAAAUGGAAAGAAGAAAGUAACUAAAAGCCUUCCUUUCACAGUUUCUGGCAUCACUACCACUACUGAUUAAACAAGAAUAAGAGAACAUUUUAUCAUCAUCUGCUUUAUUCACAUAAAUGAAGUUGUGAUGAAUAAAUCUGCUUUUAUGCAGACACAAGGAAUUAAGUGGCUUCGUCAUUGUCCUUCUACAUCAAAGAUAAUUUAUUCCAAAAGCUAAGAUAAAUGGAAGACUCUUGAACUUGUGAACUGAUGUGAAAUGCAGAAUCUCUUUUGAGUCUUUGCUGUUUGGAAGAUUGAAAAAUAUUGUUCGGCAUGGGUGACCACCAGAAAGUAAUCUUAAGCCAUCUAGAUGUCACAAUUGAAACAAACUGGGGAGUUGGUUGCUAUUGUAAAAUAAAAUAUACUGUUUUGAAAA